UACGAGGGGGGCUAGCGUUGCUCGGAUUUACUGGGCGUAAAGGGCGCGUAGGCGGUUUGCAUAGUCAGACGUGAAAUUCCUGGGCUUAACCUGGGGGCUGCGUUUGAUACAUGCAGGCUUGAGUUCGGAAGAGGGUCGUGGAAUUCCCAGUGUAGAGGUGAAAUUCGUAGAUAUUGGGAAGAACACCGGUGGCGAAGGCGGCGACCUGGUCCGAUACUGACGCUGAGGCGCGAAAGCGUGGGGAGCAAACAGG
rnacentral:rRNA from 1 species